rnacentral:rRNA from 1 species
UACAGAGGUCUCAAGCGUUGUUCGGAUUCAUUGGGCGUAAAGGGUGCGUAGGCGGCGCGGUGAGUCGGGUGUGAAAUCUCGGAGCUUAACUCCGAAACUGCAUUCGAUACUGCCGUGCUUGAGGACUGGAGAGGAGACUGGAAUUUACGGUGUAGCGGUGAAAUGCGUAGAUAUCGUAAGGAAGACCAGUGGCGAAGGCGGGUCUCUGGACAGUUCCUGACGCUGAGGCACGAAGGUCAGGGGAGCAAACGGG